rnacentral:rRNA from 1 species
UACGAUGGGUGCAAGCGUUACUCGGAAUUACUGGGCGUAAAGCGUGCGUAGGUGGUUCGUUAAGUCGGCUGUGAAAGCCCGGGGCUCAACCCCGGAGGGUCAGCCGAUACUGGCAGACUAGAGUACGGAAGAGGUAGCUGGAAUUCCCGGUGUAGCGGUGAAAUGCGUAGAGAUCGGGAAGAACAUCGGUGGCGAAGGCGGCCUGCUGGGCUCUUGCUGACACUGAUGCGCGACAGCGUGGGGAGCAAACAGG